GAUGAACGCUGGCGGCGUGCUUAACACAUGCAAGUCGAACGGAAAGGCCCAAGCUUGCUUGGGUACUCGAGUGGCGAACGGGUGAGUAACACGUGGGUGAUCUGCCCUGCACUUCGGGACAAGCCUGGGAAACUGGGUCUAAUACCGGAUAGGACCACAUUUUGGAUGGUGUGGUGGAAAGUUUUUCGGUGUGGGAUGAGCUCGCGGCCUAUCAGCUUGUUGGUGGGGUAAUGGCCUACCAAGGCGUCGACGGGUAGCCGGCCUGAGAGGGUGUACGGCCACAUUGGGACUGAGAUACGGCCCAGACUCCUACGGGAGGCAGCAGUGGGGAAUAUUGCACAAUGGGCGCAAGCCUGAUGCAGCGACGCCGCGUGGGGGAUGACGGCCUUCGGGUUGUAAACUCCUUUCGCUAGGGACGAAGCGUUAUGUGACGGUACCUGGAGAAGAAGCACCGGCUAACUACGUG
rnacentral:rRNA from 1 species